rnacentral:rRNA from 1 species
UACGUAGGGUGCAAGCGUUGUCCGGAAUUAUUGGGCGUAAAGAGCUCGUAGGCGGUUUGUCGCGUCUGCUGUGAAAACUCGGGGCUUAACUCCGGGCCUGCAGUGGGUACGGGCAGACUAGAGUGCGGUAGGGGAGACUGGAAUUCCUGGUGUAGCGGUGAAAUGCGCAGAUAUCAGGAGGAACACCGGUGGCGAAGGCGGGUCUCUGGGCCGUAACUGACGCUGAGGAGCGAAAGCGUGGGGGAGCGAACAGG